GAAGAUAUAGCUCAGGGACAGAGUGCAUGCUUAGCAUGCACAAGGUCCUAGGUUCAAUCCCCAGUACCUCUA
rnacentral:tRNA from 1 species